UACGAAGGGGUCUAGCGUUGCUCGGAAUCACUGGGCGUAAAGCGCACGUAGGCGGACUCUUAAGUCAGGGGUGAAAUCCUGGAGCUCAACUCCAGAACUGCCUUUGAUACUGGGAGUCUUGAGUUCAGGAGAGGUGAGUGGAACUGCGAGUGUAGAGGUGAAAUUCGUAGAUAUUCGCAAGAACACCAGUGGCGAAGGCGGCUCACUGGCCCGAUACUGACGCUGAGGUGCGAAAGCGUGGGGAGCAAACAGG
rnacentral:rRNA from 1 species